rnacentral:misc_RNA from 1 species
AGCAGCCGCGGUAAUUCCAGCUCCAAUAGCGUAUAUUAAAGUUGUUGCAGUUAAAAAGCUCGUAGUUGAAUUUCGAGAUCAAAUUGUUGGUCGUGCCUUGGUACGCACUGGCAUUAUUGGUUUCUCCCUUCUGACGAACCAUGAUGUCAUUAAUUUGGUGUCUUGGGGAAUCAGGACUGUUACUUUGAAAAAUUAGAGUGUUUAGAGCAGGCUCACGCUUGAAUACAUUAGCAUGGAAUAAUGAAAUAGGACGUUUGAUUCUAUUUUGUUGGUUUCUAGGAUCGACGUAAUGAUUAAUAGGGAUAGUUGGGGGCAUUAGUAUUCAAUUGUCAGAGGUGAAAUUCUUGGAUUUAUUGAAGACUAACUACUGCGAAAGCAUUUGCCAAGGAUGUUUUCAUUAAUCAAGAACGAAAGUUAGGGGAUCGAAGACGAUCAGAUACCGUCGUAGUCUUAACCAUAAACUGUGCCGACUAGGGAUC